GCCGUCAGCAGGUCUUUUCUCUUGGACUACGCUCGAGAAACAGCAAAAUCACAGACUCUGCCUGAAGCAGUAGACUGAGAAGCCGCUGUGGGAUCAGUCGACUCUUCUUCAAACCAAGUUAACUGAUUCAAAGAAAUGGCAGAAAACACAAGAAACACCAGUGGAACUAUGACUCCUCAACAAUAUGACUAUCCCAAUAAAAGCGCAACAGACCGUGAAAAAAAGAAAUUCAGAGAGGAAGAAAGAGCGCGCAGACCUGAACAGCUGUUUGUAAAUCAAAGAAAAUCGAGAGAUGAUAAAUACCAGUUUUAUACUAAAGAUCCAGAAAAAUGGAGAAACUGGAUAAAAGAGGAGUUUGGUGAUGAAACUGAAAAAAUAAUCACUUACAAAUAUGACACAGACAAAAGCACCAUAAUGUUACACAGCAAUGGAGAAUGUGUGAUACAUGUUUCAAAUGAGAAAAGGGGUGAAUUUCUCACAUGGUUCAGAGAAAAAGUCAAAAUUAACGUAAAGCAAGAAGAUCAAAAAACAGAAGACCUAAAUGAAAAAAUGAAAGAGUUGACAUUAAAAAAGUAACAACGAAAAUACUACAACCUUGCUCAUUGGUUGUCAUGUGAUUGUUGGGGUUUUCUCUGUGUCAUUGCAAGGUCUUCACCUUACAAUAUAAAUUGUCCUGAA